GGGCUGCAGUGAGGAAUCUUGCGCAAUGGGGGCAACCCUGACGCAGCAACGCCGCGUGAGUGAGGAAGGUCUUCGGAUCGUAAAGCUCUGUCAGUUGGGAAGAACCACCUGAGGGUUAAUACCCCUUGGGCUUGACGGUACCAACAGAGGAAGCACCGGCUAACUACGUGCCAGCAGCCGCGGUAAUACGUAGGGUGCGAGCGUUAAUCGGAAUUACUGGGCGUAAAGCGUGCGCAGGCGGAUUGUUAAGCAAGAUGUGAAAUCCCCGGGCUUAACCUGGGAAUGGCAUUUUGAACUGGCAGUCUAGAGUGUGUCAGAGGGGGGUGGAAUUCCACGUGUAGCAGUGAAAUGCGUAGAUAUGUGGAGGAACACCAAUGGCGAAGGCAGCCCCCUGGGAUAACACUGACGCUCAUGUACGAAAGCGUGGGUAGCAAACAGGAUUAGAUACCCUUGUANUC
rnacentral:rRNA from 1 species